UUAAAAACAGGUAUGCAGACCAAAAGAAUAGUAUAGAGCACCCAGAAGCAAACCCACACAUUUCUAGCUAACUGAUUUUAUAAAUGUGUAUCAGAAAAGCAUAGUUUCAAAUGGAAAAAAUGAAUAUUCACAGACAAAAGAGUAAAAUUAGGCAUUGUCUCUCACCAUGCAUAAAAAUCAAUUCAGAAUGGAAGUCCGAAAACUUUCAAACAACUACAAGAAAACAAAGGAAAUGCUAUAUGUUAUUGAUCUGGUCGAAGAUGUUUUUGAAAGAAAACCUCAAAAGUAAAAGUCAACAAAAGCCACAGAGAUCCAGUCAGGGGACCCUGGGAGUUCAGAGAAGGGCAAGCUGUUGUUUAUCCAUAUGUACGCCUGUCUCCUAGCUACCUCCCCUUAGAUGUCCCAAAGGCACUUAGAACUAAACAUAUUUAAAACUGAUCUCAUCUACUCCCUCCCAAACCUGUUCCUCAUCUCAAAUUCCCUCUCAGCAAGGCAAAUUCAUCCUUGCCACUUGCUCAAGCCUGAAACAUGAGCUGCCAUGGCUCACCAUGUCAGCUGUUGCAGUUGCUAAAGUUGUCCCUGAACCUUUGGUGUGUGUUUGCCUUGCCCCAAAGGUCAAGACUAAUAAUAAAGUUGAGCGCGGCUGCAGGGCAGGAAAAUUAAACCCAGCCUGGAGACAGACGAGACCCAGCGUCACCAGAGUCAAUUUCUGAUUUGACCUCUGAUGUCAACCAGUAUGAUCCCUUUUGGGAAAGCAACUUAACAAAAGCCUUAAAAAAAAGUUCAUGGUAUUUUCCCAGAGAUUCUGCCUCAAAAUCAAUGCCCAUAUAUCUGUGCACACCCCCAAGAAGCAAAAAUUCUAAACACAAAAUUAUUCCUUGCAGGGUUUUUCUUUUUUCCUGAUCAAGUACUGAGAAGUGGUCGUGACAUUCAACAAAAGUAAACGGGAUAAGCACAGCUGUCUGAUGGAACAUUCUACAGCUAUUACCUAGGGACGAAGGCAGAGGAGAUUCUAUAGCAACAGGCAAAAUUUAUUAUGCUGUAACUAAGGAUACAGGGUUAUGUGUAUACUAUGAUUGCAACAAUGUAAAAAGUGUGUGUGGGGGGUUUAGGAUUAGCUAGAGGACAUUUAAAUUUUCUUCUCUAUGAAAUUAAAAAAUAAAGAUCCAAACAUUGUCAUUUGUGAAUUAUCCUCCAGCUGUUGAUUUAUUUAGCCAGUCUCAUCUUUCGGUCAAGAGUCUUAGUCAUAUGUCAGUUUUCUAUCAGCUCUUCACUAAGUGCUGCUCUGACAAAGGCGAGUCACCCAGUAUCCAUUUUCUCUAGUAUGUCAAGACAGGAAAGGUAGCAGAUACAAAAAUAAACGCUUUCAAAACCUAUGUUGCAGACUACAUGGAGCCCACUUGCAAUCUUUUGCAGGCACGGUCACCCCCUGGUGGCCACUCGCCUGGCCACCCUAGCAUGGCUCCAUGGCCGCCUGGACAACCGAUUCACCUCUGCCGGAGGUGGGGGGGUGGCAGCCCCAGCUAUUCUUCUUGGCGUCAAAGACUCCUCCCUUUCUGUCUUUCUGACCACCCCCUACCCAACUCUCAACGUUCUGCAGCCAUGGCCCAAACUCCCCACCAGGUUGCGCUCUCACACCUCCCCUCCCCAAAGCCUCCUCCAGCUGCAAUGACGUCUUUGUCACUGGUUCGCAUGCGCCCUCGCCAUCGACCAAUGAUGGAGCGUCACUGCCACAGGCCCCAGGGGUCCCCCUCUGAUUUUUCCCUUGAUUGGAAAAAAAAUGGAGAAAAUGUAGUACUAAAAGGGUGGUGCCUCCAAACUCGCUAUUCUAAAAGACAGUGACAUACAAGAAAAGCUUCAGUCCCUAAGACUACUUGUUUGGCCCUUGUACCCCCAGUUCGGCAACACAGAACGCCUGUCCCUGACUGAGUCCGGCGCCCCCCUCCUCCAGACAUCCAGAUGAGGCCCCGCCUUCUUUGCAGCUAGCAGGCUGAACGUCUGGCAUCGCACACCAGGGAGGGCCUAAGGCGAGGCUGAUGCAAUCUGGAAGCUAGUGGGGGCGCAUGUGGUGAAAAGGGUGCUGGGAAGGAAAAGGGUUCCUGCAGUAGCACUCCCAUCAGUAGCCCCAUUUCUAUAGACGCAUACAAACUCCAGACGCCUGUCUAGGGUAAUGCGUCAGUCAGCAUCGCCUAGAGGGUUUGUCAAAGCAAGGACUGUUGGGAGUUGUCAACUGUCAGUGGUUCUGUGUCCAUAGAUUAAAAUGAGACCUGAGAAACUGCGUUUCUAACAGUUCCAAGGUCUGCUUCAGGGACUACACUAUAAAAAACUCUGAUGCAGAGGUUUGGGGUUUUGAAAAAAAAAAACACCUCAGCAAGUGGGGGGGAAUGCAUUACCUUGUCAGGAAGAUCACAAGUUUGAGGCCAGUGUGGAUGCUGAGUCAAAAAAAAGUCUACAAACAAGUAUAAAUCUUGCUAAUUUUCAUUAAUAAGAAGCUGAACAUCACUGAAGAAUAAGAGUAUGUUAGUUUAUGAACGUAAAAUAUGCCACACACUUACAAAUUGAUAUGGAAAGAUACUCAGUGAUACUGAAAGUGGACGCAGCACUUUUCAUUUGCUGCUGUGUCAUUUUUUCCAGUAACAUCCAGGAGUGUGGCUCAUACCUAGCUACAGGCAGUCUAUAUUUCUAGUGCAUAACAGGUUCUAGUACCCAGGGUCUUGAUAAUAACUGUGGCUUCAAUUGUCUCAUUUUAUUUUAUUGAUUCAUUCUUUCCUUCGUUUUGAGUUUUUGUUGGUUGCUUAGUCAGUGCUGUUAUGUAGCCCAGGCUGGCCUUUAGUUUGUGAUCCUCCUGCCUCUUGCCUCUCUCUGGCCUCCCUCCAGCCUCCAUCUCCUGAGGGCUAGGGUUACAGCCAUGAAUCACCAUGACUGGUUUAUGUAGGGUUUUUUUUUUUAAAUCAGAACUAGUCCCAAUUUGGUGAAGCAAACAAAAAUUGAGGCAAGUUGGGCCUGGUAGUACAUGCCUAUAAGCCCAGAACUUGAGAGACAGACAGGAGAAUCGCUGCAAAUCUGAAACCAACCUCAUCUACAUUGCAAGUCCUCCACCAAUUCUGGAUACAUAAACACAUUGUCACCUAAACAAAUAAAUACAAAAGAAGGUUGUAGAAGCUCAAGAGACUGGGCAAGCUUCAGGGUGGAAGUGAGUCCUGGAAGGUAAGUAAGGUCAUUUCAAGCAAGCUGAGUAAACAAAAAAACACGUCGAUUCCAGACUUUAGGACUUUACAGGCCAACAAAUGUGCUUUAAAACUGUGUAAACCAGGAGUGGUUAAAGGCACACGCCUUUAAUCCCAGCACUCAGGAGGCAAACAGAGGCAGGCAGAUCUCUGUGAGUUUGAGGCCAGCCUGGUCUAUAGAGUGAGUUCCAGGACAGCCAGAGCUGUCACACAGAGGAACUGUCUCAAAAACACAAAACAAAAAAGAAUAUUCAAAAGAAAAAGUGUUAAUGGUAGAAUUCCAAAAACAUGUGCUCAGAAAAGAACUGAGCAGAUCCUGAGUUCUCACCAUGAACUGAUUCUUAGGCCAGCACUGCCCCAAAUACAGCAGUUUUUGCAAAAUUAAGAAGAUUAAUUUUCUCUUUUACUUUGACAAUUUUUACAAAUUUGGCUUUUGGUUUGAGGGAGGGUUUUUCAGGGAAUGAAUGUGUGUUUUGGCUCCUUAUGUUUGGGAAAUCUCUAUUAAAAUGCCAACUAAGAAACAGAGACUUCAGUGAGUACACACAUGGGAUAGUGUUCACAAAAUUAGUUUAGAAAAGUCACUAAAUAAACACAUUAUUAAGGCUUUCAAAAACAAGCAGAAAACCCAGGGUGGAGAGGAAGAGGAACUAUAAUUUGCAGCAUUAGCAUUUAGGACAUUCUAAUGUAUUCUUCUUUGUCUGGUUUUGAACUUACUAUGAAGCCUAGGCUGGCCUCGAUCUUGGGAUCCUUCUAUCUCAAUCUCCAAAGUGCUGGGAUCCCAGGAAUGUGCCACCAAACCCAUCUAAAUGUAAGGUUUUCCACAAAAAAUAAAAAUCACAAUGUAUGCAAAAAUUAGAAAAGAAUAGCCCAGUUAAAGGAGCAAAAAUUAGAAAAGAAUAGCCCAGUUAAAAGAGCUGGAGAGAUGGCUUAGUGGUUAAGAUCACUUGCUGCUGGGGCUGGAGAGAUGGCUCAGAGGUUAAGAGCACUGGCUGCUCUUCUAGAGGUCCUGAGUUCAAUUCCCAGCAACCACAUGGUGACUCACAACCAUCCGUAAUGAGAUCUGGCGCCCUCUACUGGUGAUGUGCAUAUAUACAUGGAAGCAGAAUGUUGUAUACAUAAUAAAUAAAUAAAUUCCUGAGGACCCAAGAUCGGCUCCCAGCACCUGUGUCAAGAAACUCAAAAACUGCCUGUAACUCUGUCUCCAACUAGUCAAAUGCCCUGUUCUGGACCAUGCAGGCACCCACACACAAAUGCACAUAUGCAUACAGGGACACACACAGACACAUGAACAAAAUUCAGCCUUUAGAAAAGGAGCCUUACGAAGUAAAAACAAUCAGAUUUACCAAGAAAACACUUUAAAACAGUUUGUUUGAAUAUUCUCAAAUACCUAAAGGGAAAUAUGGACAAGAAUCUAAAAGAAAAAUGUCUAAAUUGUGUAUAUUAACUUAAAAGAUGGAAAAUAUGAAGAGAAACCAAAAAGAAAUGUUGGCUAUGAAAACUAUAGUAACUGAAAGAAAAUCUAUCAGAGACAUUUAAACAAAAGCUUUAAUUAUAAAAAUUAGAACAGAAAUAAAUCUAGUAUAAAGGAGAAAAGAUAAGGGUUGAUUUUUGAAAAGGUAAACUCUUGACUAGACCAACAAAGAAGAUAAGAAAGAAAAAUUAGCCAGGCAGUGGUGGCACAUGCCUUUGAUCACAGCACUUGGGAGGCAAAGGCAGGUAAAUCUCUGUGAGUUUGAAGCCAGCCUGGUCUACAGAGCGAGUUCCAGGACUGGCUCCAUAGCUACUGAGAAACCAUAUCCUGAAAAAAAUAAAAGAAAGAAAAAUUAUAUAUGUAAACCCCAACCUGAGGGCCACUGAGAUAGUUUAGCAUGCAAAGGUGCUUGCUGCCAAAUCUGACUAAUUGAAUUCAAUCCCUGGACCACACAUGGAAGAAGGAGAAAGUCAACUCCCUCACUUUGUCCCAGAAAGUCCAUACAUGUACCAUGGGGCAUUCAUACAUACAUCACACACAUUCACAAAUAAAUAAAGAAAGAACUAUACAACUUUUAGUCCAAAUUUAAACUGGAAACAUCAUCACAAAAAAUAAUAGAACAUUAUAGACAAUCACAUGAAAAUAUAAGAAUAUCAAAGACAUUGAUGGCCAGGCAGUGGUGGUGCAUGCUUUUAAUCUCAACACUUGAGAGGCAGAGGCAGGCAGAUCUCUGUGGUCUACUUAGAGAUUUCCAGGACAGCCAGGGCUACACAGAGAAACCCUGUCUCAAAACUCCCCUACCCCCCAAAAGACAUUGAUAAAUCUCUGUAGAAAAAUUCAACUUCCCAGGGUUGAAUCAUGAAGAAAUAGCAAGAACAGAUCAAUAACAUAGAUUGCAAUAGUAAUUAGUAAUUUUGAGUCUCCCACUUCUCCCAAAAGUCCAAGACAAGGUGAUUUUACAGCUGAAUUCUACCAAACUUUCAAACAAGAAUUCAUACCAGAACUGGUGAGAUGGCUCAGAGGAUAAAGGAAACUACUGUUAAGACUACAAGACCUAAGUUCAAUCCUCAGGGACCACAUAGUGGAAGAACCAACAUCUAAACAACCCGUGACCUUCACACACAUACACACACACAGAAACACACACACACACACACACACACACACACACACACACACACACACAAUGUUGGGGAAAGAAUAGCAAUACUUUUUUAAAUUAUUCCAUAAAGAAAGAUAUGUUAGGCAUCUAUUGGCACUAGAUGACAAUUAACACAGAGUCCCGAAACUGGCCAAGGUGUAGAGAAUAAUAGCCUACAAAAGCCUCAGCACUAAAAGGAACAUCUAUACUGCAACCCUCUUCUCACAAUUUUCAGGGAUCUUCAUGGAAGAGGGGUUAGAAAGACUGUAAGACCAAAAUGGUGGAUGACUCCAAGGAAACAGUAGCCUCCAGACACUACAGGGCAACUGCACACAAGAACUCUCAGCAGCCUAGGCCCUAUUCCAAAGGAAAUGAUAGACUCUGAUGACCCCCUAUGGAAGGCCUCAUCCUCCCCUGGGGAGCAGAAAGGAUAUGUGAUAGGUAGGUUUUUAGUUGGGGGGGGUAGGGGAGGAGGGAAGGGAGUGGUAACUGGGAUUGACAUGUAAAACAAUCUUGUUUCUAAUUCAAAUUAAAAAAUAAAGUAAAAAGGAUUGUUUUUUAAAAAAAUAAAAUAAAAAAAGAACUCACAGCAGUUAUGACAGCAUGCACAAGCCUGGUGCCAGCUCAAACCAGAGCAAAUCUUAGCAUGGAGAGGAGAGGUGAACAUUCAGUCUCACCCCUAGCCAAGGAACUAUUGACAAUUGACCGCUACUGGGAGAGGAGGAGUCAGUUUUCCUAAAAGAGUAUAGCUACUGGUCCGUUGACCAGACUCCAGUGGAUGGUGACACAGACAUGGAUAUAUGAGCAGGACAAAUUGGACUUGGUGGGUGAAGAAAAAAAAGAGGACACAAAGUUGGGUGGGUAGAAAAAGGGGGGUCUGAAAGGAGUUGGGGGAGGGUUGAAUACGGUCAAAACUUGUGGUUUGAAAUUCUCAAAGAACUAGUUUUUUAAAGAAAAAUACAAGAGGGGCUGAAGAGGUGGCUCAGCAGUUCAGAGCACUGACUGCUCUUUUAGAGGUCCUGAGUUCAAUUCCCAGCAACCACAUGAUGGCUCACAAACUUCUUUAAGGGGAUCCAAUGCCCUCCCAGUGUAGCCCAAGCCUUCCUCAGGGUGAGAGUUUAAGCACAGAAAAAAAGAAAAAAGAAAAAAAUACAUCCUGGGUUGGCAUACUUCAGUUAACAAGAAGCAGAACUACAGAAGCCAAAAGCAAGAACUAUGACUUUGAUAUAAGACUAGGCCUUGGUUUUAGUUUUGACAGGUCUACACACUAAGUUUUACAGCCUGAACAGCACUUCCAUCAUGGAGUUAGUGAUGCUAAGGUCUGGGACCCUAUUAUCCCACAUUGCCUUUAUAUUGCCUUUAUCCACUCUCCAUCCUAUAGCUCUUUGUAACUUUUUAAAACUAUUUAUGAUUUAUUUAUUUUCUUAUGUGCAUUGGUAUUUUGCCUGCAGGUAUGUCUGUUGGAUCCUCUGGAACUGGAAUUACAGACAGUUGUGAGCUGCCACAUGGGUGCUGGGAAUUGAACCUGGGUCCUCUGGAAGAGCAGCCUGUACUCUUAACCGCUGAGCCCUCUCUCCAGCCCCUAGCUCUUUGUAACUUAUGGUAAUUACUAUUGUACAUUCAGGUUUACUGGGGGAGGUAUAUUUUUAACAAUUUAUUCUUUGAGAAUGUCAUAUAUGCAUAUAUACCCACACCUUUCUCUCCCUCUCCAACUUCCCCAAGAUCUCCAAACACAUCCCCCACCUUACUUCAGGUCCUAUUCUUUUUAUUUUUAUUUCAUUAUUUUAUAAAGAACCCAUUGAGUCAGAUUAGUGCUGCGUGUAUGUGCAUGGGUGUAAGCUAUCCACAGAAGUAUGGGCAACCUACCUGUAACCACGUUUCCAAAGAAAAACGACUUUAUAUCUUCCAGCAGCCACCAACCACCAAUAGCUCGGCAGCUUCAUGACCCCAUUUCAACCCUGCUGGAGUUGCCUGAUUUGGGGCAGGUCUUGUACAGGUUACCACAGCUCCUGUGAGUUCGUGAGUGCAAGAGCCAUGUCAUAUUCAGAAGACAGCAUUUUUGCUCUCCUCCCAUCCUCUGGCUCUUGUGUUCAUUCCAUCCCUGCUUCCACAAUGUUCCCUGAGCCUCAGGGAGGGAGUUGAAACAUAUUGAGGAGCUGGAGAGAUGGCUCUGCGUUUAAGAGCACUGGCAGCUCUUCCACUGGACCCAGAUUCGCUGUCUGUCGCCUACAUGCAGCUCAUAACGCUCUGUCCCUCCCAUGCCAGAGGAUCCAACACCCUCUUCUGGACUCCUUGAGCACCAGGCAUGCACUGGUGCACAGACAUAUAUGCAGGCAAAACAUCCAUACACGUAAAAUAAAUACAUUUCUUUUAAAAGAAAUUAAGCUGGAGGAGGGGCCGGGAAAGGAGGAGGGCAGUAGUGGUGCAUGCCUAUUAUCCCAGAGGCAGAGGCAGCUGGAUCUCUGUGAGUUCUAGAGCAGCCUGGUUUACAUAGAGAGCUUCAGGAUAGGCAGGACUACAUAAAGAAACUCUCAAGAGAGAGAGAGAGAGAGAGAGAGAGAGAGAGAGAGAGAGAGAGAGAGAGAGAGAGAGAGAGAGAUCCAGUCAGAGCUAAUCACGCAAGUCACUAUCAUCAUUUUAACCAGUUCUGAAUAUCUCAAUUAACCACUGCCCACUGCAAAACCAAGCUUCUCUGCCCAAGGUUGAGAGCAGCACAAAUCUAUGGAUAUAAAUAUAAGCAUUAGAAGACAAUUUGACAACAUGACCCUUUAGCAAAAUACUAAUAAUAGGCUCCAUCCUAGGUCCUAUGUCCUGCCCAGCCAUGGGCUUUUGGCCUGGUGUACAGGACUGCACAUUUAUUCCCUUCUGUAGAGCAGGCCUCAAAUUCAACCUGAAAGUGGUGGGUUAUCCCCCAAGUAGCCUGUUGUAUGGCAUGUUCCUCAAAUGUCAACGUUCCUUCCAAAUUGAAUCAUGUAUUACAGUAGGGAAGUUGAGGCUCAGGAGCCUCAGGAGGCAAACAAAAGGUCACAUAUGCAGGCGAACAAAUAAAAAAACAUGGAGCUUGGGGCUGGAGAGGUGGCUCAGCUGUUAAGAGCACCAGCUGCCCUUCCAGAGGACCCAGGUUCAAUUCCCAGCACCCACAUGGCAGCUCAUGACUGUCUGUAACUCCAGUUCCAGGAGAUCCAACACUGUCACACAGACAUACAUGCAGGCAAAACACCAAUGUACAUCAAAUAAAAAUAAAUAAAUUAUUUUUAAAAACAUGGAGCUGCAUGCAAACUGCACAGAGAGCCCUAGCGUUGUUGUUUUGGGGAGUCCUCACCCAUGUUGGGGUGGGCUUUCUGGUGAUGCAGCUGCUUUUGAGUUAUCCCUGCUCCUUGUAUGUAACCCCCACAAUACUCCUGUUUGUAACCCAGAUUUUUAAAAAAAUGCAUUGGAUCACCAAUUUGGGCAUUAGCACAACAGUCAUGUUACAAUUUCACCAGUGGCCACAUCUUGCAUGAAAUAUGGGUAUUGUAGUAUGUGGGGUCCAGCCCUGAUUAAGGACAUUGAUAUGUUUUCUCCCCUGGCUGCCUGCAUAGCACCUUCUGGCAUUAUAAAAGCUAGACAACAGGGAGGAAGCUGCCUGGUCAGUUUAAAAUUGAGUUUUCUAUGUCUUAAAACAAAUAAGUGUAGUGUCUUCAGCAAUAGGGUCUUACCAUCUUGCAAUGGUGGGUGACAAAGAGCAAUGGCAAUAGCCUAAGUUGUUUGGGGAAUGGCCUCUGAGGUCUCCCUGAACAAGAACUCAUUGGGAGAUAUCACAUGCCUGGCACUGGGAUUUUCAUUUAAUGGCCUAUGUGUUCUGGGAACAUCACUGUCCUUCCAUGAACAGUGCCCCUGUAUGAAUGAUUUUAAUGAUGUGUUUUAAUAAUCUAAAUGACAUUUUAUUUGUUUUGUAUACAUUAUGCAUGUGUGUGUGUAUGUGUGUGUGUGUGUGUGUGUGUGUGUGUGUGCUUGUGUGCUUGUGUGAAAACACAUACAUACAUACAUAUGUGCAUACAUACAUGUGCGGCAGUCAGAGAACAAGUGGCUGGAGUUAGUUCUCUUCUUCUACUGUGUAAGUUCCAGGCAUCAAGCUCAGGUCAUACAUGAUUCUUGGUGGCAGGCACGUUUGCCCACUGAGCUGUCUCACUACCCUCUUUAAUUACAUUUAAUUUUUUUAAUUAGUUUGAAAACUAAUGCGUUUUCAUAAGGCUUUUUCUCCUUUUAUUUUUAAUUCUUAUUUUAUGUGUAUGGGGAUUUUGUAUGAAUGCCUAUCUGUGCACCAUGUGCUCACAGAAGCCAGAAGAGGGUGUCUGAUCCCCAGAACUUGAGUUACAGGUGGUUGUUAGCCAUCAAAUGUGUCAUGGGAAUGAAACAGGCACCCUUUGGCAGAACAGCCAGUUUGCUCUUAACCAUCUCUCCAGACUCUCCACAAUGCUUUUUCAUACAUGCUUAGUCUUGGUUAAAUCACCCCUGCUUUCUCCUCUCCCCAUCCUUCCUUCCCCAUCCUCAUGUAAAUCGUUAACCCUCCCCCCAGUAUUCUUCCAUUUUCAUUUACAAAACAUGUGUCUGCUAUCUUGUCCAAGUGUAUAUUUUCUUAUCAUUCUUCUUUUAAGUUUCUUUUAUUUCAUUUUGCAUUCCAACCACAGUUCUCCCUCCCACAGCUCUCCUGUCCCCCCUCGGCUUUCUCCGACCCAGCCCCCAUCCACUCCUCUCACAGGAUAACGGCUCCCAUUGGGAGUCCACAAAGCCUGGCCCAUUAAAUUGAGGCAGGACCAAGCCACUCCCCUGCAUUAAGACUGAGCAUGGCAUCCCACCAUAUGCCAUGGGCUCCAACAAGCUAGCUCAGUACCAGGCAUAGAUACUGGUCAUGCUGUCAGGGGCCCCUCAGAUAGACCCAACUAUACAAUUGUCUCACACAUGCAGAGGGCUAGUUCCGUUCCGGGGGGAUUCCAAGGCUAGAGUUCAUGUGUUCCCACGAGUUUGGUUCAGCUGUCUCUGUAGAUUGCCCCUUCACGAUCUUGAGUUGUAAAACAGUAGGUUUCAGCCAGGGAGUGGUGGCGCAUGCCUUUCAUCCCAGCACUCAGGAGGCAGAGGCAGGCAGAUCUCUGUGAGUUCGAGGCCAGCCUGGUCUACAGAGCAAGUUCCAGGAUAGGCUCCAAAGCCACACAGAGAAACCCUGUCUCGAAAAACAAACCAAUAAUUAAAUAAAUAAAUAAAUAAAUAAAUAAAUAAAUAAAUAAUAGUAGGUUUCCAAUGGCUUUUUCAUAAACGGUUUGUUUUGGUUAACCCUCCCUGCUUCCACAUCCCUUCAUCCCUUUGCUAUUCAAACGUUUCUUUCCCAGUAUUUUCCCUCUCUUAUCUCAUUUUACCUAGUUGCCAGUAUCACUCCCACUUAGUGCACCCCUCCUAAAGCCCCUUUCUAGUUUUUUGGCUUCUACCCAUACUUUGAGUUAAAUACAAACAACUAACAACUCAAAAGUAGUAUUUACAUGUAUAAGAGAACAUGUGGCAUUUGUCUAUAUGAGUCUGGGUUACCUCAUUCAAUAUAGCAUUUUAUUUCAUACAUUUCCUUGCAAAUUUUAUACAUGAAGAUUAAGUUCAUUUCCUAGGAAUUGUGAAUAGAGCGGCAAUGAAGAUGGAUGCGUCUCUGUGCUAGAAUGAAGCAUCCUUUGACUAUAUACCAGGAGAGGUAUAGCUAGUCCUAUGGAAAUCCAAGGGGCUCCACCUGCUUAGACUCUCACAAACAAUGUACAAGGCUUUCCCUUCCCCACACCCCUGUCAGCAUUUGCUGUCAUUUGUAUUUCUGAUGAUGGCCAUUCUGACUAUGUGAAAUGGAACCUCAAAGUAAUUUUAAUCUGCAUUUCUCUGAUGGCUAAAGAAGUUGAACUAAUUUUAAGUGCUCCUUAGCCACACAAGGAUGGAGUGUUAUGGUUUGAAUGCCCCACAGACUCAAAUGUUUGAACACGUGGUUCUCAGCUUCGGGACAUGGGGCCACCCUGGCAGAAGUGGGUCACUAGGAACAGGCCUUGAAGGUUCUAUACAGCUCUGGUUCUAUCUGUGCUGUCUGUUUCUUCUGUGUCCCAUGCCUUUUUUGCUAAAAUGGACGGAAACAUCUGAAACCAUGAGGCAAAAUAAUCCCUGCCUUUUCUCACUGUAAAGCUGACUAAGUACGUCCAGCAAUAAUGACGCCUCCACUUGAAGGGUAGGAUGUGGUAAAAUUCCCUCUACCAAAUGUAUUAAUCAGUUCAUUACUUUUUGAAAAUUUCGUUUUUGAUAUUGCAUUUGUUUUUUAGUUUGAUGUAUGUGUUUCCACUCAUGUAUGGCUGUGUGGCAUAUGCAUUCAGUUAAUUCAACUUCACACCAGUUUUAAGAGCAUAGGCAGAAAGCAGCCAAAUUCUUUGCCAGAGUGUAACCUAAAUGGUCUUAGGUCGAUCAAGUUCCUGGUAAACUCCUCAUUCCCAUCUGAAUCCUCAUAGCACAAUGUUUGCUAUCAGCAUUUGUAUAAGCAUUCUGGUCUUUCGUCCUCCCAACCAAGAUGGCCUGUUAAUCUCUGUUUAUGCUCUCUGGGGCUUCUCUAGCCCACAGCUCCAAACUCUUCCACAUCCUCUUGCCAACAAGUGUCAAAACACGUGCAUCACGUGAUCAGGCUCAAUCACAGCAAGGGACUCCCAGUACCAAGUUCUCCAGAUUUAGCUGCUUUUCUCAUUGCUGUGACAAAAUACCUGGAAAGGAGCAAUUUAAGAGAGGAGAGGUUUGUUUCUACUCAUAGUUUCAGAAAUUCCAGUCCAUCCCAGGGAAGGAAUGGCAUCUAGAAUAGCAAAGCAGAAAAUGCAGCCGGGAACCAGAAAUCAUAUUAGUAACUUACUUCUUCCAGCAGAGCCUCCUUCUGGGUGUCAUAUAUGGAGCCAUAGCCAUCCAUUCUGGCCAAACAUGAACUCCACCAUAGCUCCCUCACGAUGGACUGAAAUCUCUGAAAAUAUGAACCAAGACCGUCUUAGUUGCUUCUAUCUAGUAGACUGAUAUCCUUAUCAUAGAAGAUAAUACAGCUACACAGAGAGGCAAGACUAUACAACAAGAUAUAGGAUGAAGAUGUUGAAAAACAGAAACUUCAGAAGAGAUGAUCUCUCUGGAACCAUGAUCUUGGGUUUCCACCUUCAGAAUUGUGAGAAAAUCAAUUUCUACUCUUCAAGAUCCCUAUCCUGUGGCUUUUUGGUCUUACAGCCCUAGGAAACAAAAGAAGAAAGGAGGAAGUAAAUUAUUCCUAUUUAUAAAUGAUAUUAUUUUCUAUAUAGAAAAACACAAAGAAUUCUUAAGAAAGCUAUUGGAGUGAACAAACAAAACCAGUGAAGUUACUAAGUUCCAAUACGCGCGCGCGC
rnacentral:lncRNA from 1 species